GUGCUCACUUCAGCAGCACAUAUACUAAAAUUGGAACAAUACAGAGAAGAUUAACAUGGCCCCUGCACAAGGAUGAUAUGCAAAUUCGUGAAGUGCUCAUAUUUAAA
rnacentral:snRNA from 1 species